rnacentral:misc_RNA from 1 species
AGCACCCCGAGUGGGCAACAUAGGACAUAUAACACGAAUUUCUAACAAACUUGUGCAGUUGGGAAAGAAUGACAACUACAUUCAAGCACAUAUUGAGAAAAAUAUGGAAUGGAGCGAUUGGCAAACUACCGUAUUACAAGAGCGUAAUACAAUAGAAAACGUCUACCGAUGGGCUUGUGGCCGGCCGACUGCAUUACACGAUCGAAUGAGGGACAGUGAUGAGGGA